GAUGAGCGCUGACGGAAUGCUUAACACAUGCAAGUCAACUUGAAUUUGGGUUUUUAACUUAGGUUUGGGUGGCGGACGGGUGAGUAACGCGUAAAGAACUUGCCUCACAGCUAGGGACAACAUUUGGAAACGAAUGCUAAUACCUAAUAUUAUGAUAAUAGGGCAUCCUAUAAUUAUGAAAGCUAUAAGCGCUGUGAGAGAGCUUUGCGUCCCAUUAGCUAGUUGGAGAGGUAACGGCUCACCAAGGCGAUGAUGGGUAGCCGGCCUGAGAGGGUGAUCGGCCACAAGGGGACUGAGACACGGCCCUUACUCCUACGGGAGGCAGCAGUGGGGAAUAUUGGACAAUGGACCGAGAGUCUGAUCCAGCAAUUCUGUGUGCACGAUGAAGUUUUUCGGAAUGUAAAGUGCUUUCAGUUGGGAAGAAACAAAUGACGGUACCAACAGAAGAAGUGACGGCUAAAUACGUG
rnacentral:rRNA from 1 species